UACGUAGGGGGCUAGCGUUGUCCGGAAUCAUUGGGCGUAAAGAGCGUGUAGGCGGCCUGGUAAGUCCGCUGUAAAAGUCAAAGGCUUAACCUUUGAAUGUCAGUGGAUACUGCCGGGCUAGAGUCCGGAAGAGGCGAGUGGAACUCCUGGUGUAGCGGUGGAAUGCGCAGAUAUCAGGAAGAACACCAACGGCGAAGGCAGCUCGCUAGGACGGUACUGACGCUGAGACGCGAAAGCGUGGGGAGCGAACAGG
rnacentral:rRNA from 1 species